rnacentral:lncRNA from 10 species
CUACUCUGUAUUUGCCCGCAUUUGCAGCUGUGCUCUCUCUCUCUCAGUGCUCUGAGAGUGUAGGCUCCUUUCCCACUCAAGUGCUGGCUGCAGAUCUGGGUUUGGCACUCCUGGACGUCAUACUACAGCCCCGGGUCCAAGGACAUCGAGCACAGUACCUUUGCAGUGGCAGUGUCAGAGGGACUUUCAGUUGUCUCUGGGAGCCCCACCUCACAGAAAUGCAGAGCGUCUGCUAAUGCAAGUGUUCAGCCAGAGGGUGAGGUGGCUGUGCCAUGGGCCUGAGCUGGGAGCCCUUCUUGGUGAAGAGUAAAGGGUCAGGGACUCACACGAAAGGGAGACUGAGUUCCUCUCCAUAUGGUGACUAUGGCAUGCUAGAGACAUGAGUAAUGCCCUCAGGCUCUUUGUUCCUUCCCCAGUCCAAAGACAACAAGGUCAAAACCACUGCAGUGGCAGUGGU